CUGUCUCCGAGCCCGGCAACCUAAAGCGUUUUGCCACGGUUCCAGGGCCGAUAGGGUACGGCGGGAAACCUCCGUGCCUCCCGGUGUGGAAAGGAGGUUUUA
rnacentral:ncRNA from 1 species